rnacentral:misc_RNA from 1 species
GAUGAAGAACGUAGCGAAAUGCGAUAAGUAAUGUGAAUUGCAGAAUUCAGUGAAUCAUCGAAUCUUUGAACGCACAUUGCGCCCGCCAGUAUUCUGGCGGGCAUGCCUGUCUGAGCGUCAUUUCAACCCUCAUGCCCCUAGGGCGUGGUGUUGGGGAUCGGCCAAAGCCCGCGAGGGACGGCAGGCCCCUAAAUCUAGUGGCGGACCCGUCGUGGCCUCCUCUGCGAAGUAGUGAUAUUCCGCAUCGGAGAGCGAUGAGCCCCUGCCGUUAAACCCCCAACUUUCCAAGGUUGACCUCAGAUCAGGUAGGAAUACCCGCUGAACUUAAGCAUAUCAAUAAGCGGAGGA